rnacentral:rRNA from 1 species
GAUGAACGCUGGCGGCGUGCCUAAUACAUGCAAGUCGAGCGAACGGACGAGAAGCUUGCUUCUCUGAUGUUAGCGGCGGACGGGUGAGUAACACGUGGAUAACCUACCUAUAAGACUGGGAUAACUUCGGGAAACCGGAGCUAAUACCGGAUGAUAUUUUGAACCGCAUGGUUCAAAAGUGAAAGACGGUCUUGCUGUCACUUAUAGAUGGAUCCGCGCUGCAUUAGCUAGUUGGUAAGGUAACGGCUUACCAAGGCAAUGAUGCAUAGCCGACCUGGGAGGGUGAUCGGCCACACUGGAACUGAGACACGGUCCAGACUCCUACGGGAGGCAGCAGUAGGGAAUCUUCCGCAAUGGGCGAAAGCCUGACGGAGCAACGCCGCGUGAGUGAUGAAGGUCUUCGGAUCGUAAAACUCUGUUAUUAGGGAAGAACAUAUGUGUAAGUAACUGUGCACAUCUUGACGGUACCUAAUCAGAAAGCCACGGCUAACUACGUG